rnacentral:lncRNA from 1 species
CUGUGAUGUCCUAUGUUCAAAUCUGCAGUUUUAUAGUAAUAUUUAGUUAUUUUCUGUCUGAUUAUUUUACUUUGUAACUUAUAACUUUGUACAUUAAACCACAAUUUCUCCUUUUUCGCAGCUCUUCCUUCAGCUAAUCUAAUAGCGAAUAAACACACGAUCACAGAGUCAGACUCAGUUACGCUGCAUUGUCAGACUCCGUCAUAUAUUGCUGUGGAUCAGUGUUAUUUCUAUUCUGAUCGAGGACAAACUUCUAAAAUCUUCCCCUGCCUGCAGACACUGACAGGAACUGAUCUACUGUCUAUGUCACGGCAGCGUCCACCUGCUAAUGUUGAAGUCAAGUGUUUUUAUACUGUAAAGUAUGAAGACACACGUCCUCCAUCUCCACACAGUGACUCAGUCUCUAUCGCUGUACACAGUAAGCAGCUGCCUUUAGAUUUGAUGGGAUUGAUUGAACUGACUUGAAUCACAGUAAAAACAUUUUGAAUUGUGACAAUCUGACCUGAAUAUCAGAGUUUAAACAUAAUGUACUUGAUGCCAGAAUUACAAACAUUCAUUGUCUUUAUGUUUUGAAGGUCAAAAACCAGAGAUGAGCUGUUCUGAUUUCAGUGACCACGUUGUCUUCACUUGCAUUUUGCCUGAAUCUGUUGAACAUGGUACAAAAUGUAACUUGUACAUUGGAGAAGCACAUCAUCCAGUUUCAACAACAACCGACAUGAAGAAAACCACCUCAAGAAAACAGCAGUUGUGUCAGUUUUAUAUCACGAGAGACGAUUUGCUGAAACUCCUACAAUCAGUUCAGCUAAAGGAGGCCAGCUGUGAUUACAGCCUGGAACAUGAACCCAACUUUUCUUCUGCUCGUAGUGAUGGAUGCAGCUUGACUGAUUCAUUUUCUGGUAUAAAAACACAAGGUCUGGUUCCACCUGAACUGACAGUGACUCCACUGGUGAUCACAGAGUCAGACUCAGUCACUGUGAACUGUCAGACUCCAUCAUCUGUUCCUGUCUAUCAGUGUUGGCUCUACUCAGUGAGGGAUCAAACCUCCAGAGUCGUCUCUUGUCAUCAGACACUGACAGGAACUGAGCUGAUGAAAAUGACUCAUCAAAGUUCACCUGCUGAUAUUGAAGUUACAUGUUAUUACACUGUGGAGCAAAGAGGAACUAAAUCUCAAUCUCCACUUAGUAACUCUAUCAUCAUACAGAGUAAGUAGCUACUGGGAUAUGUUUUAUUACAGCUUAUUACAAUAUCAACUGUAACUCAACACAACCACAUCUGUUCCUUCACAUGCUUCAAGUUGCAGACAGAGUUAUAAAACCAAUGAUGAACCAGAUGCUGUUCCAGUGUUUUAUGUUUGUCUUACAUUAAAUAUAUAUUUCUUUGUAUAUUAAACCUAUUUUUAUGGAUUAUGAACCGAUUACUUUCAGGUCUGGUUCCACCUGAGCUGACCGUGACUCCACUGGUGAUCACAGAGUCAGACUCAGUCACUGUGAACUGUCAGACUCCAUCAUCUGUUCCUCUGAGUCAGUGUUACUUUAACUUUGGUAAAGACAAACCUGCCAAACCCUUCUCUUGUCAGAAGACGCUGACAGGAACUGAACUGCUGCAAAUCACAAACCAAAAUUCACCUGCUGAAGUUGCAGUCAGCUGUUUUUACCUUAAAACGCAUCGGGCUCCAAACAGUAAUGUGUUCUCCAUCAGCAUACGACGUGAGUAAAUACUGUGAUAUGAACUAAUGUCAGAAGAAAUAAUGUAACAAUCAGAUCUGAUAAUUUAAAAAAGUAAAUUAUAUAA